GGCACUUUAGUGUAGUGGUUUAGCACGUCGGAUUCUGAAUUUACUCAGUUCAUGAGUUCCGGAGUCCUGGGUUCGACUCCCAGAAGAGCCU